GGUCCCAGAGACCCUUGCGCCGGCGCGCACGCCCGGAGCGGCGCUGGCUGGGCGUGGCGCAGGUGGGCGGUGCUGGAGCUCCUGACAGGCUUGGGGACUGGGUUUACGAGUCCGCCGGGAGCACCUCCGUGGGGGUCGGGCUAGCCACGUACAGUUUCAGAGGGAGGCAGGUAGGUAGGUGACCCCACAGCCAGACAAGCAGAGCAGUAAAGGCUCGGGGGCAGCCAGAAAGCGCCAGCUGCGAGUCUGGAAGAGUCAGAGGUGAUGGGCAUGUGGGUGAAUGCAGGUGAUCGGAGUGCGGAUGCCAGGCGACACUGAAUGAGCAGAGCCCAAGGUGAGUGGCAGAAAGGGCCAAGGAGCUCCAAACUAUAGAAGAUGGCUGCUUACAUCUCUAUGGGUUGAGAGCUGCAGACGGCUCACCUGCACAUAGAUAUCAAUCUGG